UUCAUUUCUGUAAACUUUGCUAACCCCGGAGGGCCGUAUAAACAGAGACAGGUGUAGGGGCACCUCCACUCCCGGGGUUCAUCUGCUGCCGUCCCUGCCGGGUGCACACGACAAGGGGCCCUCGACCCAAUCGCAGUCCAUGCUUCCCGAUGACGCACCUGGCCAGGGUCCUCCCCCACGUGUGGGGGGCAAAGCGAGCAUCCCCAGCCCGGUGCCCCCCCAGACAGCCCCGAUGGGAGAGAGCAGCGAAAGGGGCACCUGGGGGUGCGACCUCAUGCCGGUCUCUCCGACUUUCCCCCCAUUUCCAGCGCAUCGUUUCACAUUAGAGACACUCCAACCUUAAAGUCCUGCGCACCUACGUGUCCUUCCAAAGCAACUGACUAAAGCGCCUACUGGCCUUUCGUGGCUCAGCUUGUAUCACUUUGGACCUGAUGGACAAAGAAAGGAGCCAUAUGUCCCCAGAAGACUGCUCCCUUAGUAAUAUCAAGAAAACAUUUGAAGAACCAUUUAAGCAAAAUCGAGUCAGGACUAAUGCAGAGAAAAAUUAAAAAACAGAAGAAGAGGAAAAACCUGGCUGAGGCAACAGGAAAAGGGAUAGAAGGAGAAACUGGUCAUUGGAGUUGUUCAAGAUCAAGUUGAACCACAUCACAUUUUGCACAUUGCACAAGGAAUUAAACAUUAGAUCUAUAAAUGAACUUCUUUUGUGAACCACCCCCACAACUUUUGCUCCGAUGCUGUCUGUACCAUCAUAUAUUGAUAGUACAGAGAUUUCUUUAAAUGAUUCACUCAUUUUUUAUUAGAUACAUUUAUUUAAAGACUACAAUUUGCACACGAUGUUUUGGUUAUUUUUUGUAAUGCCCUUUAAAACAAAAAGAUGAUGAUUAAAAAAAAAAAAAGCUUAUAUCUGUUAGUAAACCCAAAACUAAAUGCCUUCCAGACCUGUUAUUCCAUGGAAAUUCUUAAGCCAAAUAAAAGAUAAGAAUAAAA